rnacentral:rRNA from 1 species
AGAGUUUGAUCCUGGCUCAGAGCGAACGCUGGCGGAAUGCUUAACACAUGCAAGUCGCACGGGGGCUUCGGCCUUAGUGGCGGACGGGUGAGUAACGCGUAGGAAUGUGUCCGAGGGUGGGGGAUAACGUUGGGAAACUGACGCUAAUACCGCAUAUCUCCUGAGGGAGAAAGCCGUGAGGUGCCCACGGAGCAGCCUGCGUACGAUUAGCUAGUUGGUUAGGUAAAGGCUGACCAAGGCGACGAUCGUUAGCUGGUCUGAGAGGAUGAUCAGCCACACUGGAACUGAGACACGGUCCAGACUCCUACGGGAGGCAGCAGUGGGGAAUUUUGGACAAUGGACGCAAGUCUGAUCCAGCAAUGCCGCGUGCGGGAAGAAGGCCUUCGGGUUGUAAACCGCUUUUGUCAGGGAAGAAAUCUUCUGGGUUAAUACCUCGGGAGGAUGACGGUACCUGAAGAAUAAGCACCGGCUAACUACGUGCCAGCAGCCGCGGUAA